rnacentral:rRNA from 1 species
UACGUAGGGCGCAAGCGUUGUCCGGAAUUAUUGGGCGUAAAGAGCUCGUAGGCGGCUUGUUGCGUCGGUUGUGAAAGCCCGGGGCUUAACCCCGGGUCUGCAGUCGAUACGGGCAGGCUAGAGUGUGGUAGGGGAGAUCGGAAUUCCUGGUGUAGCGGUGAAAUGCGCAGAUAUCAGGAGGAACACCGGUGGCGAAGGCGGAUCUCUGGGCCUUACCUGACGCGUGAGGAGCGAAAGCGUGGGUAGCGAACAGG